rnacentral:ncRNA from 1 species
AAAUAAAUUUUUUAUGAUUUAUAAAAUUUAAUUUAAGUUUAUUUUACAUAUAAAUUUUAGUAUGAAUUUUUAAUUAUUUUAAUAAUUUUUAAAAAUUAAUUUAUAGUAAUUAAUAUUAAAAAUUUAAGAAAUUAAGAUUUAGUAAUAUUUGAAGUUAUUAACAAAUUUUGUGCCAGCAGUUGCGGUUAAACAAAAAAUAAUUUAAAUUUUAUUGGUAAAUAAUAAAUAUUAAAAUAUUAUAUAUAUAUAUAUAUAUAUAUUUAAAUUAUGAAUUAAAUAGUAAAUUAUUAGGUGAAAUUUUAAUUUAUUUAAAAUUUUAUUAGAUAAUAUGAUUUAUAAAAUUUUUUAAAAAACUAGAAUUAGAUACUCUAUUAUUAAAAAUUAAAUAAAAAUACUAAAAUAGUAUAUAAUUAUUUGUUGAAACUUAAAUAAUUUGGCGGUAUUUUAGUUCAUUUAGAGGAAUCUGUUUAAUAAUUGAUAUUCCACGAAUAAAUUUACUUAAUUUAUAUAAUAAUUUAUAUUUUGUAUAUCGUUGUUAAAAAAAUAUUUUUUAAUAAAAAUAAUAUUUUAAAAUUUAAAAAAUAAAUUAAUUCAGAUCAAGAUGCAGAUUAUAAUUAAGAAUAUAAUGGAUUACAAUAAGGAAUGAUUAAAUGAAUAAUAUUUUUUAAAAGAUAUUUAAAGGUGGAUUUAAAUGUAAUUUUAUUUAAUUUAUUAGAAUGAUUAAAAAUUGGAAUAUGUACAUAUUGCCCGUCGCUUUCAUUAAUAAAUUGGAAUAAGUCGUAACAAAGUAGAGGUACUGGAAAGUGUUUCUAGAAAGAU